rnacentral:rRNA from 1 species
UACGUAGGCAGCAAGCGUUGUUCGGAGUUACUGGGCGUAAAGGGUGCGUCGGCGGCUUUUUAAGUCUGGUGUGAAAUCUCCCGGCUCAACUGGGAGGGUGCGCCGGAUACUGAGGGGCUAGAGUGUGGGAGAGGAAAGUGGAAUUCCUGGUGUAGCGGUGAAAUGCGUAGAUAUCAGGAGGAACACCGGUGGUGUAAACGGCUUUCUGGACCAUAACUGACGCUGAGGCACGAAAGCGUGGGUAGCAAACAGG